GACGAACGCUGGCGGCGUGCUUAACACAUGCAAGUCGAACGGAAAGGCCCUGCUUUUGUGGGGUGCUCGAGUGGCGAACGGGUGAGUAACACGUGAGUAACCUGCCCUUGACUUUGGGAUAACUUCAGGAAACUGGGGCUAAUACCGGAUAGGAGCUCCUGCUGCAUGGUGGGGGUUGGAAAGUUUCGGCGGUUGGGGAUGGACUCGCGGCUUAUCAGCUUGUUGGUGGGGUAGUGGCUUACCAAGGCUUUGACGGGUAGCCGGCCUGAGAGGGUGACCGGCCACAUUGGGACUGAGAUACGGCCCAGACUCCUACGGGAGACAGCAGUGGGGAAUAUUGCACAAUGGGCGGAAGCCUGAUGCAGCAACGCCGCGUGCGGGAUGACGGCCUUCGGGUUGUAAACCGCUUUCGCCUGUGACGAAGCGUGAGUGACGGUAAUGGGUAAGAAGCACCGGCUAACUACGUG
rnacentral:rRNA from 1 species